rnacentral:rRNA from 1 species
UGGGGAUAUUGCGCAAUGGGGGAAACCCUGACGCAGCAACGCCGCGUGCAGGAAGAAGGUCUUCGGAUUGUAAACUGUUGUCGCAGGGGAAGAAGAAAGUGACGGUACCCUGUGAGAAAGUCACGGCUAACUACGUGCCAGCAGCCGCGGUAAUACGUAGGUGACAAGCGUUGUCCGGAUUUACUGGGUGUAAAGGGCGCGUAGGCGGGAUAGCAAGUCAGUCGUGAAAUGCCGGGGCUUAACCCCGGAGCUGCGAUUGAAACUGUUAUUCUUGAGUAUCGGAGAGGAAAGCGGAAUUCCUAGUGUAGCGGUGAAAUGCGUAGAUAUUAGGAGGAACACCAGUGGCGAAGGCGGCUUUCUGGACGACAACUGACGCUGAGGCGCGAAAGUGUGGGGAGCAAACAGGAUUAGAUACCCUGGUAGU